rnacentral:lncRNA from 1 species
UUCUCGUACAUUAUUCUGCAUAAGCUUUAAUAUUUCUUUGACUUAUGUGGAUUGGAAAGACCCCAUGUUGACAGGAAGCAGCACAGCCUCCUGAGACUUGGCUUCCAGACAAAGGGAGUUCAGACAGAAAUUGGAGCUUCUGGUUGCAUUUUGAACUCUGCCUGCCCCCAGUGUUCUCUCCCCUUGAACAAGCUGCAUCUCACUCAGCUGGCUGAACAGUGGCUGCAGUUGCCUUUGACUCGUGUGACUUUAAACAGGACAUUGCUAGAAGACUUGAACAAAUAAACUGGACUCCAUGAAAUAAUCAGAUUUAACAGUCCCUGUUGUAUACACUCCUGGAAACUUGUUAAUUCAUUAAGUAACAAAGCAAUUCUCAUUCUGAGUGAAAAAAACCCCACAAAUUAUUUUUGAUUACAUAUUCUUUAUUCUUUAUUUUGAUUCAUUAUUAUUAUUAUUAUAUUUAUUCAAUAUUAUUAUAAUGAACAAGUUAUAAUGAAUAAAUAUAAUACAUAAUAUAUUUCAUAGUAGGAAUUACUCAUCCUAUGGUAAAAUGUCUUUCCAUAUAAAAACUUUCUAAAAAUCUGAAGUUCUACUCAAAGAUUUGGGAAUCCUAAGAGCAGCCUCUGCUGAUGCAAAGGGAAAUUGUUUCUCAAUUUUUCUAGUAGAGGUAAGUGUUUAUUGCCUAUCCACAAGAAGUUUGUAAGAACUGUUUGGUGUUUGUAUGUCACUUGGAAAAUAUAAAAGCCUUCAUGGAUUAUAAAUUUAAAGUAACUCAAGUAAAUAAGAGGAUCAGCAUUAAAAAUAUUGGAUGCCACAAACAAUAUAGCUGAAACCACAAUGGUCUUAUGGUCCAUCAACAGAGUUAUGGUAGUCUAAUGAGUAAGAUGUCUCUUUCUCCUCCAUAAUAAAUGUGAAUACUGAUGCACAGCUUGGACCGUUCCCGUUCUUCUGACGGCAUUUUCUUACAGCUCAAUGAGCUGCUCCAGGCCGGCCCUACCCCAGGCUGUGCCCGGGCAGGGAGUCCAGAAGGGAAAAUAUAAUCCCUUUGCUUGGAUCACCUCGAGAUGCUGGGUCCAGUUC